rnacentral:rRNA from 1 species
GUAAAGAGCUCGUAGGCGGUUUGUCGCGUCUGCUGUGAAAGCCCGGGGCUCAACCCCGGGUCUGCAGUGGGUACGGGCAGACUAGAGUGCAGUAGGGGAGACUGGAAUUCCUGGUGUAGCGGUGAAAUGCGCAGAUAUCAGGAGGAACACCGAUGGCGAAGGCAGGUCUCUGGGCUGUAACUGACGCUGAGGAGCGAAAGCAUGGGGAGCGAACAGGAUUAGAUACCCUGGUAGUCCAUGCCGUAAACGUUGGGCACUAGGUGUGGGGGACAUUCCACGUUUUCCGCGCCGUAGCUAACGCAUUAAGUGCCCCGCCUGGGGAGUACGGCCGCAAGGCUAAAACUCAAAGGAAUUGACGGGGGCCCGCACAAGCGGCGGAGCAUGCGG